rnacentral:sRNA from 1 species
GCAAUACUGACAGAGGAAAGCCAGAGGGUAGUCCUGGCAGCGGCCGGAAACAGCAACCCCAAAAUCCUCUCUAGAGCGUGGGUACCGCAACUGACCUGUGACAUGGUAGUAGAUGAUGGUGGCGGGACCAGCGUUGACGGUGUCCAGCUCACAGCGGUAGUUGCCAGCAUCCUCUGGACCCACCAUCGUCUUGGUCAGUCCCUGUCACCUGUAGAGGAGGACUUCUGGACCCAGCCCUUCUCCCAGGCUGCCGAGGUCUGCAUCAUGGCCUGCCCUCCUUACCUACAAC